rfam:Eimeria maxima Weybridge genomic scaffold, Emw_scaff2285
UGUCGCCAUACAAACGUUUCAGACGAUGGAACGCGUUCAAUUGUAGAGACGGGUGCUGGUGAGUAACAGCCAAAUACACACAUUCGCGUUCAAUUGUAGAGACGGAUGCUGGUGAGUAACAGCUAAAUACACACAUUCAGGAGCUAUGGUAUUCCUUUAUAAAGGUUGCACACGUGCAUACAGGCGUAUGUAUGUAUGCAGCAUAUAUUGAGCAGGUGAAGUAGCUGUAAAGGUAACAGUGUGUGAACUAUGCCUGAGUAGGGUGAAGUCAGGCGAAAGCCUGAUGGAGGCUCGUAGCGAUACUGACGUGCAAAUCGUUCGUCAAACUUGGGUAUAGGGGCGAAAGACUAAUCGAACCGUCUAGUAGCUGGUUUCUUCCGAAGUCUCUCUCAGUAUAGCUGGAGUUCAAUUAGUUUUAUCAGGUAAAGCGAAUGAUUAGAGGCCUCGGGGACGCGUCGUCCUCGACCUAUUCUCAAACUUUAAAUGGGUAAGAUCCAGUGGUUACUUCACUGAACUGCUGGGAUUAAUAUGAACUCCAAGUGGGCCAUUUUUGGUAAGCAGAACUGGCGAUGAGGGAUACUCCUAACGCUUGGUUAGGGUGCCUAAAUACUCGCUCAUGAGACACCAUAAAAGGUGUUGGUUCAUUUUGACAGCAGGACGGUGGUCAUGGAAAUCGAAAUCGUUCCUCAAAAGUACGUUGUGGGGAAAUAAAAGAUUCAAUGAUUGGGAAUAUAUGAUUAUAACGAGCGUUUCCUCGCAGCAAACACCCCAACGAAUCACAACAAUAUGCAUCACGAAAGCAACAACGCUGUUGCUAAUGCGACGCAGUACCGCGUGACCGCGAAAGCAACUUUGAGACGCAAUGCGUGAAUAGAUAAUCGAACGUGUUUUGAAGUUUUCUGCCAUAUACGGAUCUAGAACACUGAAGAG